rnacentral:rRNA from 1 species
UACGUAGGGGGCAAGCGUUGUCCGGAAUCAUUGGGCGUAAAGCGCGUGUAGGCGGCUCGGUAAGUCCGCUCUGAAAGUCCAGGGCUCAACCCUGGGAUGCCGGUCGAUACUGCCGGACUAGAGUUCGGAAGAGGCGAGUGGAAUUCCCGGUGUAGCGGUGAAAUGCGCAGAUAUCGGGAGGAACACCAAUGGCGAAGGCAGCUCGCUGGGACGUUACUGACGCUGAGACGCGAAAGCGCGGGGAGCAAACAGG